UACGAAGGGAGCGAGCGUUGUUCGGAAUCACUGGGCUUAAAGCGUGCGUAGGCGGAUCUGUAAGUCAGAAGUGAAAUCCCGGGGCUUAACCCCGGAACUGCUUUUGAGACUGCAAGUCUAGAAUUCGGUAGAGGUUAGUGGAAUAUCCAGUGUAGAGGUGAAAUUCGCAGAUAUUGGAUGGAACACCAGUGGCGAAGGCGACUAACUGGGCCGACAUUGACGCUGAGGCACGAAAGCGUGGGUAGCAAACAGG
rnacentral:rRNA from 1 species